ACUACUAGAGAAUUGAGCUACUCCCAAAGAUGAAAAAAAAAGAAUAUGUAGUAAUGGUUAAGAGUCCACUGUGGAAUCAGCCUGCAUAGGUCCAAAUCCCAGCCCUGACUGAAUACCUGUGAACAAGUUAUAUCAGUGACUCAGGCUUAUUAUCUGUAAAAUGGGGAUUAUAGCAUUCCUGCCUCAUAGGGAUGUUAUGAGAUUUAAAUACCAAUAAGUCUGUACAUUAUAAACCUUAUCAGAUUGGUGUGGUGAAAAUGCUCAGUAACUGAGCCUCGUGAGCAUUAGAAUGUUGAGAUCAGCAUGAAGUUAGCCUGUAUACUGGGCAUACACAUUCUUCUGGAUUUGCUCCUUUUGUGAGCAAUCAAUGAUGAGCUAAAGGCAUUUGCUAACUAGUAGGAAUGAAAUAAGGUUUCAGACAGGAUCUUGGUGGGUGAUGUAGAUUUUAUCUGUCCCAUUUGUCCCAUUUCUCAACUGGAAGUGAGUCUGGCCUUGGUCUGCAUCUGUGCUCUCCCCUUCACAAAAGGCAGGCCCAGAGAGACUCCAGAGAUGGCCCCUGUCUCCUGUGUGUCCUCCGCCGCUGUGUCCACUUGGGCACGUCAAAGGAGGCCUUGAUGUGCAGACGCGAUGGGGCAACGAUGAGACCGAAUAAACAAUUGACAUCUAACCCCAGAAGAAGAGCAAGGACCUGGGACCCAGAAGGAAGAGGCUGUGAGAGGUACAAACUGCAGGCAUGGACAUGAUGCAUAUAGAGGACAGCCACACUAAGCUUUGAGGCUUCUGGAGGCAACACAGAGUAACCAUUUGAAUGGAAAUCACUGAACAGACACAGAGAAAGAGAAACCAUCCAAUGACUUGAGGGUGACACCAAGUUUGCCUGGUGGCCUCAGGACUCCUGGCUCACUGGUCCCACUGUCUCCCCCCGCCCAUCAGAAUACAUGAAGGCUGGUGGGGCACGGUGGCCCAUGUCUGUAAUCCCAACACUUUGGGAGGCCAAGGCGGGCAGAU
rnacentral:lncRNA from 10 species